UGAUUUCUGAGGAGGUAUAUUAAACUUUUCUAUUUUUGUUUUAUUUGUUUUGUUUUGUACAGACAGGGCCUCAUUAUGUUGCCCAGGCUGGUUUUGAACUCCUGGGCUCAAGUGAUCCUCCCACGUAGGCCUCCCAAAGUGCUGAGAUUAUAGACAUGAGCCACCACACCUGGCAGGUGUUACCGUGAGAAAAUAUCUUGAACUUCUACUCUGUUGUCCCAGAGUCGAUGUAUUCUACCUUUGUCGACCAGAACUUCUCCAUCAUACAGUCCAAACUUGUGGGUCUGGAAAGCACAAACUCUGUAAAUGAGAAACUGGUGAUGAUGUUAAGUAAGUUAUUUAUAUUUUAAGUCCCUGAUUUUAGACUCAUGUAUUUUACCUACUCGGAAAAAAUCAUAUUAUGGUUGUUGAUUUAGAAUACACAUCCUAAAAAGUGACAUCCCAUCUUUGUAUGGUCUCAUGUCUGAGCUAGGCAUCCCACUGAAAUCUUUAACUUAACAUGCCAUUGUUCCACUACGCACCACCCAGCAGCUAAUUGGUCUCCACGCAGAAUGGUGCUAUUAGGGGGACUCAGUGAUUGUCUUGUAUGUAUGGACAUCAUGCAGUAACAGGAGAUAAAUUUGUGUUGGAGACAGGGAACCCAUGCUACUGAAUUUAUGCAUAGUCUUCCUUACAUCACCAUGGUUACCAUGUCUACAUGCACCUCAUGCUCACACUUGGGUUGCGUGAUGGUUAAUAUUGAGUGUCAACUUGAUUGGAUUGAAGGAUGCAAAGCAUCGUUCCUAGGUGUGUCUGUGAGGGUAUUGCCAAAGGAGAUUAACAUUUGAGUCCGUGGACUGAGAAAGCCAGAUCCACAAUCAAUCCGGGUGGGGACAAUCUAAUCAGCUGCCAGCAUGGCCAGAAUAAAAGCAGACAGAAACACGUGGAAAGACCAGACUGGCUAAGCCUUCUGGCCUCCAUCUUUCUUCCAUGCUGGAUGCUUUCUGCCCUUGAACAUCAGACUCCAAGUUCUUCAGCUUUUGGAUUCUUGGACUCACACCAGUGAUUUGCCAGGGGCUCUUGGGCCUUCCACCACAGACUGAAGGCUGCACUAUCAGCUUCCCUACUUUUGAGGUUUUGGGACUCGGACUGGCUUCCUGGCUCCUCAGCUUGAAGACAACCAAUGGUGGGACUUCACCUUGUGAUCCUGUGAGUCAUUUCUCCUAAUAAAUUCCCCUUCAUAUAGACACUAUCCUAUUAGUUCUGUCCAUCUAGAGAACCCCGACAAACAUGGGUUGCUAUCAACUGGACAAAUCAUUGCCAACUAAGUUUUUUAGUGCUUCAGCACUUCUACCAUAGUUAGUGUGCACUAAUGAAUGCAAACAUUUGUAUUACCUAAUACAUGGUCUGGUACAGCAUCCUCAGAUGUGAACUAUGCUGCCUCCUGUAUCCAAAAAGGACUACCAAAUGUUGUACUUCCAUCUUAUUGCAGUGCAGUAAGAAAUAUUUUGUCCUUUAUUUUGUAGAUGUCCCAUCAUGCCCUCAACCACAAAACACCUAAAUUUUACGGUUAUAAUCGCUGUCAGUGGUUGUACGUUGAUAUUCUAUUGUUCCAGCACCAUUCUUUUCCUAUUAAAUUACACUGGCAAAUUUGAUUAAAAAAAACAACUGACUAUAUAUGCUUGUAAACAUUUCCAGAUUAUGUUAUUCUUUUAAUCUAAAUAUGUGUCCUUAUGCCAAUACCCCACUCCAUCUAUUACUGCAGUGUAUGAUAAGUCUUGAAAUCUAGUAGUGUAAGUUCUUCAACGUUGCCCUUAAUUUUUAAAAUCACUCUUGCUAUUUAAAAUUGUUUGUAUUACAUGGAAAUUUUAUAAUCAGCUUGCCAAUUUCUACAAAAGUCCUGCUGAGAUUUUAAUUGGUAUUUUGCUUGUUCUGCAGCUUAAUGCAAGAAAAUUAUCUUAACAAUAUUGAAUUUUUCAAUCUAUUAACAUGUUAUAUAUUACUGUUUACUUAGGAUUUUUUCACUUUUCCUGCCUUGUUUUGAACUGAUAUUGUGGUUUUAAGUAAUUUUUUUUAUUUCUACUAUUGGCUUAGUAACUAUGCCCCACUUUUUGAUUUUGUAGCACAGUUGACCAUUGAACAACACAAGUUUGAAUUGUGCAUGUCCAAUUGUCUAUGGAUAUUUUUCAAUAAAAGUUACACUGAGUGCAUCAGCCUCUCUCCUUCUUCUCCUUCUACCUCCUCCAACUGUUCCACCUCUGCCACCCCAAAACAGCAAGAACAACCCCUCCCUUCCUCCUCCUCCUCCUCAGCCUACUCAAGGUGAAGCUGAUAAGGUAAG
rnacentral:lncRNA from 10 species